rnacentral:rRNA from 1 species
UACGUAGGGUGCGAGCGUUAAUCGGAAUUACUGGGCGUAAAGCGUGCGCAGGCGGUUCGCCAAGUCAGGUGUGAAAUCCCCGGGCUUAACCUGGGAAUUGCGCUUGAAACUAGCGGGCUUGAGUGCGGCAGAGGGGGGUGGAAUUCCACGUGUAGCAGUGAAAUGCGUAGAUAUCAGGAGGAACACCUGCGGUGUAGACGGCUUACUGGACGGUAACUGACGCUGAGGCACGAAAGCGUGGGUAGCAAACAGG